UAUAUUUUAGUAUAAGAUGUACAAAAGUUUUUGAUACUUUUAGAGAUAGUUUAAUUCUAUCAAAUAUAA
rnacentral:tRNA from 1 species